CCUGGUUUGUGAUAAUAACUUUAACACAUGAUCCGAUUUUUGUAAGUGUUAAUUCAGUGCUUUACUACUUUAACGGACUAUUGACACUCUCAAAAGACGUUUUGAUGUAGUUAUGUGCAAUAAAUAAUAGUGCGUAUGGACAUUAUACACAUUUGUUUAAGUGUACAUCUCAAAUAUAAGAAUUUGAUCUAGGGAGAACAAUUCAAACUGUUAGAUUGUCAAAUCUUUAAAAA
rnacentral:lncRNA from 1 species